AAAAAUUGUGCGCUAGAAUGAGAAAUUGAUGUCUUGGGGUGGGAAAAAAACCAAUUUUCUCCGUCAGUGAUCUCUGAUCACCAAAAUCUGGAGAGCUCGAAGCGGGAAAAAUGGCGAGAGCCGGGGGAAUAACGAACGCAGUUAACGUGGGAAUAGCGGUUCAAGCUGACUGGGAGAGCCGCGAAUUCAUCUCUCACAUCUACCUCAAUAUCCGCUGCCUCUUUGACUUCCUUCUCCACUUCGAGGCCACCACCAAAACCAAACUCUCAUCCUUGAAUGAGAAGCUACAUACACUCGACCGUCGCCUCCAACUUCUCGAACUGCAAGUCGCCGCCGCCGCCGCCAAUCCAGCUCUCUUCAAUACUUGAUUCAAUUCAUACGGAUCUUCAAUAUACGGAGCCAAGUAACCUGUAAGCCACUCCUUUUCUGUACUCUAUACGACCUAAUUGUUGUUAUCUAAUCAAUGAAGAAACAGAAAAUCUUAAUCUGGGUGGUUAGUUUUUGCAACUUCUUUAUUUCCUCCGCUGGGCUGCUAUCGAGAUCUGGACUCCAGGCAAAAUUCUAAUAGCUCAAUUUAAUAAUUUUGUUCUAUAAAUCAACACUUUUUGUUUUGGUGUUGAAGGUAAAUCUUUGAGACAUUUGAUUUUUAUGUGAAAUAUUUCUGGAUA